rnacentral:tRNA from 1 species
GGCGGUGUGGCGGAAUGGUUACGCGUUAGGGUCCCAAUCCUUCGUAGGAGGGGAGGGUAAAAGUCCUAAGUCAAUGGGGGUUCGAAUCCCUCCUAAGUUG